rnacentral:rRNA from 1 species
GACAGAGGGUGCAAACGUUGUUCGGAAUUACUGGGCGUAAAGCGCAUGUAGGCGGCCACGCAGGUCGGAUGUGAAAUCCCUCGGCUCAACCAAGGAAGUGCAUUCGAAACCGCAUGGCUGGAGUCCCGGAGAGGGUGGCGGAAUUCUCGGUGUAGAGGUGAAAUUCGUAGAUAUCGAGAGGAACACCGGCGGCGAAAGCGGCCACCUGGACGAGGACUGACGCUGAGAUGCGAAAGCGUGGGGAGCAAACAGG